rnacentral:lncRNA from 1 species
AGAGGGAGCCCGCUCAGGCCUCAGCCAGCACAGAGAGGGGCUCCCACGGUGCAGCUGCGGGCUGAAGGGCUCCUGAAGCGCGGCCAGAGUGGGCUGAGGCCGAGGAGGCGCCGAGAGCCAGCGAGGGGAUGCCAGCAAGCUGUCACCUCUCAGAAAUACAGGAAGAACAUCAAUAAUGUUCGAAGUUAUAAAUUGCGGAGGCCAGAAGUCAGAAAACAAGGUGUCUGCAGGACCAACCUCUCCUCUGGAUGCUCUAGGAGAAGCCAGCUCCCAUGUUAAGAAGUUCAAAUACCUAGAGACUGCGAUGGUUUGCAGAGGCUCAAGCUAACCACAUGGAAAGACAUGGAGAGAUAUUCCUUGCCAACCCUCAACUACUCCAACUAUUCUAAGACAUCAAACCUGUCACCCACCGGUCUGAAGAGGAGGAUGAGAGACAAAGAAAAAAGUUGUCUGGCUGCCUCUGCUGUCUACAGAUUGAAGAAGAUCCAUCCAGCUGAGCCCAGCCUAGACCAGCUGACUUCUCCAAUAAGCCUGUAUGAAAUAAAUGCUUAUUGUUAUGUG